rnacentral:rRNA from 1 species
UACGGAGGAUGCAAGCGUUAUCCGGAAUGAUUGGGCGUAAAGCGUCCGCAGGUGGCUAUGUAAGUCUGCUGUUAAAGAGUGAGGCUCAACCUCAUAAGAGCAGUGGAAACUACAUGGCUAGAGUGCGUUCGGGCAGAGGGAAUUCCUGGUGUAGCGGUGAAAUGCGCAGAUAUCGGGAGGAACACCAGUGGCGAAGGCGGUGCUCUGGGCUGGAACUGACGCUGAUGGACGAAAGCGUGGGUAGCAAACAGG